ACAGCAGCCGCCGCGGGAAUACAGAGGGUGCAAGCGUUAAUCGGAAUUACUGGGCGUAAAGCGCGCGUAGGUGGUUUGUUAAGUUGGAUGUGAAAUCCCCGGGCUCAACCUGGGAACUGCAUCCAAAACUGGCAAGCUAGAGUAUGGUAGAGGGUGGUGGAAUUUCCUGUGUAGCGGUGAAAUGCGUAGAUAUAGGAAGGAACACCAGUGGCAAAGGCGACCACCUGGACUGAUACUGACACUGAGGUGCGAAAGCGUGGGGAGCAAACAGGAUUAGAUACCCCAGUAGUCCCUGUCUCUUAUAC
rnacentral:rRNA from 1 species